AGAGGAGUCUGUUAUGAAAUCAGAUGCAAUUUUAGAUGUCUGAAAGAGUUUCUUUAGGCUAAAGGCAGCUGAAGAUCAAUUACACUGUUAGCAAAUGUGCUUCCAGCUGGUUGGAGCUUCUCUUGAGGGAGAGUCUCAACCCAGGGCCCAUUGCAAUGGUAGUGCAGGAAAGGGCUUGCAUUUGCUUUGGGCUAAGGAUCUUCUGCUGCCCAGUUCUACCUGUGAGAAGAGAAACUGGAGAUGAUGUGGGAGAAUGACAACAGCACUAUUACUGGUGAGUUACUGGCUGUUCCUUUCCCCUCAAAUCCCCAUGCUGGGUCUGUGUUUGAAGAUUUUGCUCAAAACCCCAUGCUCCUGAACUAUGGGUUUGCUAACAAAUGGGCAGACUGUACUGGCACAGACUUUGCCUUUCAGGAGGUACUGAAGAAAUAGGUUUAAACGGAUCAAAUUCUCAGAAACCCAGCCUGUGGCUUGUGCCUUAGCUUUUUAGGCUGUACUGUUUGUUUUAUUUUGUUUCUUUGUUUGCUUAUCUCCAAAGCUGAUAUGAAGAAAAGAUGGAAACAGCCUCCUGAAGGUCAAGGUGAGACUGACCAACACCUGAUUGCUGGUACUCACCAGCAGUAAUAAAUCCCCGAUCACAGGUGCUGGAAGUCUCUUCAGCAAAACAACAUUGCUGCAGAGGACCAACAACUAGUCCUGACCUUCUUUACACAACCAUUCUCUGGGAAAUGUAUCCCCUGAAGCCAAUGUGGAUUCCGCCUAGCUUUCAUCAGAAGAGAAAUGCCCGGAUUGAAAUGACAACAACAAAUGAUAGGCGCUGGUGAUUUGCACUCUCUCCACCUAAAUCAGAUAUCUGGCACAUCAAUACUUAGAAGGCUUAGGAGAAGAAGAAAACAUCAAUAUUUCACUGAACACAAAAAGUUGCACAACUCCCCAGUCUUUAUUUUAAUGUCAACUGUGGUUAGUUUGUCAUUUUUUUUCCUGUAAGAUGAGUGAUUUCCACUUCUCUUUGAAUCCCACCUGCGCAAAUAGCUUGUUUUUCUCCCUAGCAAGUGUUAACAAGGAACUGCGAGGGUUUUGUUCAGGCUCAGUAGUCAGGCAGUCCUGCGGCGUCUGACUUCUAGGAAAAGCCACAGCAGGAACAAAUGAGAGCCAGCCCACGCACCAGGCGCAGCUUUUGCUGGUCCUCAGCUCAUGUUCCAGCUCACACUCGUGGUAAAUGGAUCUCUGUUAGCAACUGCAACGCCGACCAGCGCCGGGAGCACAGAUCUGGACGAGCUGGAUGCUUCAUCAUGGAGCUGCCCUCAGAAACGAUGGCCCAUUACGAGGCAGCUUCACCCUCCUCAGCAGAGCCCACGGCAAUUUAGGACUUGCUCUGCUCACUUUAGUCCGUGCAGUUUCAUCCUUUAUGUGAACCAGAUCAUGCAAAUGGGGGCACCGGAGUCACAGGGAAGUCGAGUUCCACACGAGGAGUGGCAGGAGAAGGAGCAGCAAUUAGCUCUGAAUUCACUCUACCAGCCUGUAAUUUCUGCACUCUCCCCUGCUGCUCUGCAAGUGGAAGCCUUGCGCUCUAGAAGAAGGGGAGAAGAACAUUUUGCUCAUGCUCAUAUUAAUCAAGUCAUCUUGUGAGCUGCUGAAUCUGUGAAAUUAUAUCUCCCAUGGAGUUCGGUGGUAAUGACUGUCUUCGAUGUGGACUCUCUGGUGUCUAAUAAUACAGUAAUAUUUCUGCAGUGGAUGCACUCCCAGCAUUUCUUCUCCUCUGCCUGCCUACUUCUACAGCACUUGUAGGCAGCUCAAACCUUUGAGACUUCUAUCCCCUGUCAAGUUUGAUCAAACUCAGUUCACAGGCUCAAAAAUUAUUUAGGAGGGACCGACUGGCACUUGCACAGACAGUGUGAUCUCAUAAGCUUCCUUUCCUUGGGAAACUAGGCUACCAACCUAGCAACGGGGUGAAAAAAAAAGCCAUCCUGCUAGCAAAGAGGACCUAAACACCGGGAGGAAAGAGGGGAGGUGGGAGAGGAAAGUGAAGCUGUUUUGAAGGGAAAAAAAUUGCUGCCUUGUGGCUGCAGAGCUCUCACACACUUAAAGGACCAGCCUUGGAGGGACAUGCUGGAGAAAAUAUUCUCCAGGAGAUGGAAAGUUCUCUCAUGAAAAUUGGUAAGGGAAAGAAAUGACCUGGAUUCAUCUCACCACCUGGCAUGCUGAAUGGAUAUCUCUAUGGUAAGGAUUGUCUCUGGUGACACUCAUUCCUCCCUGUGGUCUAGAGGAAGACACAGACACAAUUAGCAUGCAACCUGUAUGCCUGCAGCCUCUAAAGCGAGGUGUGUCCUAUCCCAAAGGGAAUUAUCUUCUUCCCACUCUCUCCUUCAGACCAAAGUUUUCCAUGGUGCUGCUGCAGGGUUUGUUACUUCAUGUACUACAUUUGUAUUUUAGAAAAGCUGCUGUGUGUCUUAAUAGCUGCAGAUGUAUGCAUGGUUUUACUGGGCAUUUAUUAUCACUUAUCCUCUUUGCACUGAAACCUUUCCUGUCCUUGUAUCUUACGGAAUAAAAUUCUUUAAGUGAG